rnacentral:rRNA from 1 species
UACGUAGGGUGCAAGCGUUGUCCGGAAUUAUUGGGCGUAAAGAGCUCGUAGGCGGUUUGUCGCGUCUGCUGUGAAAACCCGAGGCUCAACCUCGGGCCUGCAGUGGGUACGGGCAGACUAGAGUGCGGUAGGGGGAGAUUGGAAUUCCUGGUGUAGCGGUGGAAUGCGCAGAUAUCAGGAGGAACACCAAUGGCGAAGGCAGAUCUCUGGGCCGUAAGCUGACGCUGAGGAGCGAAAGCAUGGGGAGCGAACAGG